AAAUGUUAACUGCGUUGUAUUUAUAAUGUAGUUGAAAGGUGACUAGAGGUGUACGGUGUCUUACUCUCUAUAGCUGGUUUGUAUUUCACCAAAACAAUAUCGCUUUAGUGUGAACAAAACUGUGACAAAAAUCACAAGUAAUUCAGUUCUCGCAGUUCGAUUCAUAUGUCGGUAUGUUUCUCAGUGACAAAAAAAAACUGCCUGUUAUAAGGUUGUUGAAAUAUUACUAGAACGGCGUCUUAAGCUAUAUAUUUAGCUUGUAUUUCA
rnacentral:lncRNA from 1 species